UAUUCUGCCCCAUGGGGAAGGAUGAGAAGCUUCGACUAAGGUUCGACUCGAGCGAAGCGAGAGAACGUUGCCGCAGG
rnacentral:sRNA from 1 species